rnacentral:piRNA from 1 species
UGGGUUGAAGUUGGUAAUUGAGCGGC